rnacentral:tRNA from 1 species
GGAGAGGUGGCAGAGUGGUCGAAUGUACCUGACUCGAAAUCAGGCGUACACAACGUGUACCGUGGGUUCGAAUCCCACCCUCUCCGCCA